AGGAUGAACGCUGGCGGCGUGCUUAACACAUGCAAGUCACGGGGGGUUUGAGGCGCAAGCCUUGAGCAACCGGCGAACGGGUGCGUAACACGUGAGCAACCUACCGAAAUGAGGGGGAUAGCCGGCCCAACGGCCGGGUAAUACCGCAUAAGCUCAGAUCCAGGCAUUUGGGUCUGAGGAAACCUCCGGGGCGUUUCGAGGGGCUCGCGGCCUAUCAGCUAGUUGGCGGGGUAAUGGCUCACCAAGGCGACGACGGGUAGCUGGUCUGAGAGGAUGGCCAGCCACAUUGGGACUGAGAUACGGCCCAGACUCCUACGGGAGGCAGCAGUGGGGAAUCUUGCGCAAGUGGCCUAACGGCUGACGCAGCGACGCCGCGUGAGGAUGACGCUCGUCGGAGUCGUAACCUCUUUUGUCUGAGACGUAAUUGUCAGCUAUCAGUCGUUGUAGUUUAGUACGGUUAGUCGGGACGAAAUUAA
rnacentral:rRNA from 1 species